rnacentral:rRNA from 1 species
AACGAACGCUGGCGGCGCGCCUAAUACAUGCAAGUCGAGCGAGAAGACGUAGCAAUACGUUUGUAAAGCGGCGAACGGGUGAGGAAUACAUGGGUAACCUACCCUCGAGUGGGGAAUAACUAGCCGAAAGGUUAGCUAAUACCGCGUACGCUCCUUGGACUUCGGUUCAGGGAGGAAAGCGAUACCGUGGGUAUCGCGCUCUUGGAUGGGCUCAUGUCCUAUCAGCUUGUUGGUGAGGUAACGGCUCACCAAGGCUUCGACGGGUAGCUGGUCUGAGAGGACGAUCAGCCACACUGGCACUGCGACACGGGCCAGACUCCUACGGGAGGCAGCAGUAAGGAAUAUUGCGCAAUGGGCGAAAGCCUGACGCAGCGACGCCGCGUGGGGGAUGAAGGUCUUCGGAUUGUAA